GGAAGUAAAAGUCGUAACAAGGUUUCCGUAGGAGGACCUGCGGAAGGAUCAUUA
rnacentral:rRNA from 1 species